CUCCCUUUAUUGUCCUUUGUCCUUGGGAGGAAAAGCACGACGUCCUUGAGGGCGUGCGGGAGGGGCUGCGGGUUGUUCGCCGGUUCUCCACUCGCAGCCCCGGGUGCUGCCGCCGGGAGCCGAAGCCACCCGGGCAGUGGGUCGGACCCCCGCGUUCCCUCUGCACAGCCUGCCGGGCGCCGGGCUGUCCUCCGAGGCUGCGGGGAGAGGGCGGCGGCCGCGCCACGGAGCCCCUGCCUGCUCGGGUAAUUUACCAGAUUAUAAUUAGUGUGGUUGCUGAUGAUUCUGAAUAAAUACAGCUUUUUCCCCCCAGGUGUGCCAUUUUGAAGAUGGAGACAAUAGAGAUUUAUCUUUAAGAAUAAAGGAGAGUCCCUGGGAAAUUUCUAUAUUUUAUAUAGCAAAAAUGUGGAUUCCCAGAUGGAGUGAAAUAACAAUACCACAGACAUUGUUGAAGCAUUUACAUCCAGUCAGCUUGAAGAGUUUGAAAUGGACUACUGAGAAAUCAAGAUGGCAGCCCACUAUGGGGAAUUGAGGAAAAUGGAUUAAAGCCUGAAUGCUGUGAUGUUAUACAACCGACACAGGGUUUCUUUUCAUGUGGAUUCCAUGAAAUGAACGAUUCUUAUCCAACACAAAUGGACAGUGGGAUUUCCUUUCUAAAGACUUCUUACGUAUUAUGUACAUUUUAACAUCUGGAGAAGAUGUUACAUUUAUUCAAAUACUAGUCUGUAUUCCUGGAAUUUCUUACAAUUUUGAUCUGACUGACCUAUGGAAUGUUAACUUCAAUAAAAUUUCUAAAACUUAAAGAUUUCUCAGUUUGGCCCUUUUUUAAAUUUUUUUUAAGUGGACGCUUUCAUUAAAUGUUCAUUUC